AAGUCGUAACAAGGUUUCCGUAGGUGAACCUGCGGAAGGAUCAUUAUUGUAUUCACCUGCGAUGCUGUUGCUGGCUCCUUGUGGGCAUGUGCACGCGUCGUAAGUUAAUUUCAACCACCUGUGAACCUUUUGUAGUCUUGGGCGACGCUAUAAAUCAAAGGAAACUUUGGAUUUGAAUGCUGCUGGCUUGUAAAAAGGUCGGCUUCAUUCUACAGCAGAGCCCGGGUACUAUGCUUUACACACCCCAUUGUAUGUCAUAGAAUGUAAUUCAAGGGCUUCAAUGCCUUUAAACUUAAUACAACUUUCAGCAACGGAUCUCUUGGCUCUC
rnacentral:misc_RNA from 1 species